GUGAGGAAUUUUCCGCAAUGGGCGAAAGCCUGACGGAGCAAUGCCGCGUGAAGGAUGAAGGCCUAUGGGUUGUAAACUUCUUUUCUCAGAAAAGAAUUAUGACGGUAUCUGAGGAAUAAGCAUCGGCUAACUCUGUGCCAGCAGCCGCGGUAAGACAGAGGAUGCAAGCGUUAUCCGGAAUGAUUGGGCGUAAAGCGUCUGUAGGUUGUUUAAAAAGUAUUCUGUCAAAGAUUAGGGCUUAACCCUAGAUAGGCAGAAUAAACUUUUAAGCUAGAGUUUGGUAGAGGCAGAGGGAAUGCCCGGUGGAGCGGUGAAAUGCGUAGAUAUCGGGAGGAACACCAAAGGCGAAGGCACUCUGCUGGGCCAAUACUAACACUGAGAGACGAAAGCGAGGGGAGCAAAUGGGAUUAGAAACCCGGGUAGUCC
rnacentral:rRNA from 1 species